UUCAAGCUACGAAUUUUCUCCCAUCUUCAAGCUAUAAGAUCUCUCCAUCAUUAUUGCUCACACAUCACGAAAGAUUAUCGCCAUCUUUGUGAUUCGUUCGUGAGUGUCUCCAUCAUUCCAAAGAGUCAGGCUGCAAUGAGGUGGAAAGGUGGAUGUGGAAAUAUAUAGUUGUAGUCUGCAACGAGUUAUGUACGUAAACAUUGUAUGUGUGGAGGUCCAUUAACGAUGCAUACAAGAUAUUUUAAAAUGUGUGAGCGGACAUCUAUCCAGCAAUCUCACGGGUAUCGGUUUCCUUGUGAAAGAAGCCAUCUCCAUAUGCAUAUAUGGAUAACUCCUUUUGUUGUCAUAUACAAGAAUAAAUUUUGUUUCUAGCUAUACAAUAUACAUAAAGAACAGAGAAGUAAUAAUCUGAUAGUAAUU